rnacentral:rRNA from 1 species
GAUGAACGCUGGCGGCGUGCCUAACACAUGCAAGUCGAGCGAGAUAAAUGUGAGUGGAGACUUCGGUCAAAGCAAUCAUUUUGAAAGCGGCGGACGGGUGAGUAACGCGUGAGCAAUCUGCCCCAUACAAAGGGAUACCCACUGGAAACGGUGAUUAAUACCUUAUAAGACCACGAAGUCGCCUGGCUUAGUGGCCAAAGAUUUAUCGGUAUGGGAUGAGCUUGCGUCUGAUUAGCUAGUUGGUGAGGUAAUGGCUCACCAAGGCGACGAUCAGUAGCCGACCUGAGAGGGUGAACGGCCACACUGGAACUGAGACACGGUCCAGACUCCUACGGGAGGCAGCAGUGGGGAAUAUUGCACAAUGGGCGCAAGCCUGAUGCAGCAACGCCGCGUGAAUGAUGAAGGCCUUCGGGUCGUAAAGUUCUGUCCUAAGGGAAGAAUACAGUGACGGUACCUUAGGAGGAAGCCCCGGCUAACUACGUGCCAGCAGCCGCCGUAA